rnacentral:lncRNA from 1 species
GAACUGUUAAUCACUCUUUGUAGUGAUUAACGACUGGACGUAGAUUCUGUUGAAUCGAACCAGUAUAAAAAUCCUUGUGUGAUUUUCUUUUGCCCUACACUCGUUUUAUUAUUAACGCACGUUAUCUGCUUGGUAAAUUUUCUGAAAGAAAAUCGUUUAACUUAAGAAGGCUAAAUUUGUUUCAACUGUGACUUGUUACGCUGUACGCUCUUUGUGUUUUAAUCCGCUGCGCUAAACUCUUUUAAAAAUUAACCCCUCCAAUACCAACACAUUCCUCCUCACAGAUCCGUCAGCUCUCCUUCGUAAGUGUCAUCUCUUUCACAGAAACAACAUUGUCUUCAUCUCCAAUGCUUGUUUCACCAAACAUCUUCCUUCAAAC